ensembl:lncRNA
AUAUGUGGUAAUGGAACAGGGAGGGGUUAGACAGUGUUUAAGGAUAUAUGUGGUAAUGGAUCAGGGAGGGGUUAGACAGUGUUUAAGGAUAUAUGUGGUAAUGGAACAGGGAGGGGUUAGACAGUGUUUAAGGAUAUAUGUGGUAAUGGAUCAGGGAGGGGUUAGACAGUGUUUAAGGAUAUAUGUGGUAAUGGAUCAGGGAGGGGUUAGACAGUGUUUAAGGAUAUAUGUGGUAAUGGAACAGGGAGGGGUUAGACAGUGUUUAAGGAUAUAUGUGGUAAUGGAUCAGGGAGGGGUUAGACAGUGUUUAAGGAUAUAUGUGGUAAUGGAUCAGGGAGGGGUUAGACAGUGUUUAAGGAUAUAUGUGGUAAUGGAACAGGGAGGGGUUAGACAGUGUUUAAGGAUAUAUGUGGUAAUGGAUCAGGGAGGGGUUAGACAGUGUUUAAGGAUAUAUGUGGUAAUGGAACAGGGAGGGGUUAGACAGUGUUUAAGGAUAUAUGUGGUAAUGGAUCAGGUAGGGGUUAGACAGUGUUUAAGGAUAUAUGUGGUAAUGGAUCAGGGAG